rnacentral:rRNA from 1 species
AAUGAGAAGCCUCAGGAAAUGGUAACAUCUGGCUGCUCUCAGAAGCUAAGCAGGUGUGACCUUGGUUAAUAUUCAGGUGGGGGACUUCAAGGGAAUUUCAGGGAUAUUCAAUA